AUAGCAUGUCAGAAGGCAGACCCGGAGAACUGAAACAUCUUAGUACCCGGAGGAAGAGAAAGAAAAAUCGAUUCCCUGAGUAGCGGCGAGCGAAACGGGAAGAGCCCAAACCAACAAGCUUGCUUGUUGGGGUUGUAGGACACUCUAUACGGAGUUACAAAAGAACAUGUUAGACGAAUCAUCUGGAAAGAUGAAUCAAAGAAGGUAAUAAUCCUGUAGUCGAAAACAUAUUCUCUCUUGAGUGGAUCCUGAGUACGACGGAGCACGUGAAAUUCCGUCGGAAUCUGGGAGGACCAUCUCCUAAGGCUAAAUACUCUCUAGUGACCGAUAGUGAACCAGUACCGUGAGGGAAAGGUGAAAAGUACCCCGGAAGGGGAGUGAAAGAGAACUUGAAACCGUGUGCUUACAAGUAGUCAGAGCCCGUUAAUGGGUGAUGGCGUGCCUUUUGUAGAAUGAACCGGCGAGUUACGAUCUGAUGCAAGGUUAAGCAGCAAAUGUGGAGCCGCAGCGAAAGCGAGUCUGAAUAGGGCGUUGAGUAUUUGGUCGUAGACCCGAAACCAGGUGAUCUACCCUUGGUCAGGUUGAAGUUCAGGUAACACUGAAUGGAGGACCGAACCGACUUACGUUGAAAAGUGAGCGGAUGAACUGAGGGUAGCGGAGAAAUUCCAAUCGAACUUGGAGAUAGCUGGUUCUCUCCGAAAUAGCUUUAGGGCUAGCCUCAAGUGAUGAUUAUUGGAGGUAGAGCACUGUUUGGACGAGGGGCCCCUCUCGGGUUACCGAAUUCAGACAAACUCCGAAUGCCAAUUAAUUUAACUUGGGAGUCAGAACAUGGGUGAUAAGGUCCGUGUUCGAAAGGGAAACAGCCCAGACCACCAGCUAAGGUCCCAAAAUAUAUGUUAAGUGGAAAAGGAUGUGGCGUUGCCCAGACAACUAGGAUGUUGGCUUAGAAGCAGCCAUCAUUUAAAGAGUGCGUAAUAGCUCACUAGUCGAGUGACACUGCGCCGAAAAUGUACCGGGGCUAAACAUAUUACCGAAGCUGUGGAUUGUCCUUUGGACAAUGGUAGGAGAGCGUUCUAAGGGCGUCGAAGCAUGAUCGCAAGGACAUGUGGAGCGCUUAGAAGUGAGAAUGCCGGUGUGAGUAGCGAAAGACGGGUGAGAAUCCCGUCCACCGAUUGACUAAGGUUUCCAGAGGAAGGCUCGUCCGCUCUGGGUUAGUCGGGUCCUAAGCUGAGGCCGACAGGCGUAGGCGAUGGAUAACAGGUUGAUAUUCCUGUACCACCUAGUAUCGUUUUAAUCGAUGGGGGGACGCAGUAGGAUAGGCGAAGCGUGCUGUUGGAGUGCACGUCCAAGCAGUAAGGCUGAGUGUUAGGCAAAUCCGGCACUCAUAAGGCUGAGCUGUGAUGGGGAGAGGAAAUUGUUUCCUCGAGUCGUUGAUUUCACACUGCCGAGAAAAGCCUCUAGAUAGAUAACAGGUGCCCGUACCGCAAACCGACACAGGUAGUCAAGAUGAGAAUUCUAAGGUGAGCGAGCGAACUCUCGUUAAGGAACUCGGCAAAAUGACCCCGUAACUUCGGGAGAAGGGGUGCUCUUUAGGGUUCACGCCCAGAAGAGCCGCAGUGAAUAGGCCCAAGCGACUGUUUAUCAAAAACACAGGUCUCUGCUAAACCGUAAGGUGAUGUAUAGGGGCUGACGCCUGCCCGGUGCUGGAAGGUUAAGAGGAGUGGUUAGCUUCUGCGAAGCUACGAAUCGAAGCCCCAGUAAACGGCGGCCGUAACUAUAACGGUCCUAAGGUAGCGAAAUUCCUUGUCGGGUAAGUUCCGACCCGCACGAAAGGCGUAACGAUUUGGGCACUGUCUCAACGAGAGACUCGGUGAAAUCAUAGUACCUGUGAAGAUGCAGGUUACCCGCGACAGGACGGAAAGACCCCGUGGAGCUUUACUGUAGCCUGAUAUUGAAAUUCGGCACAGCUUGUACAGGAUAGGUAGGAGCCUUUGAAACGUGAGCGCUAGCUUACGUGGAGGCGUUGGUGGGAUACUACCCUAGCUGUGUUGGCUUUCUAACCCGCACCACUUAUCGUGGUGGGAGACAGUGUCAGGCGGGCAGUUUGACUGGGGCGGUCGCCUCCUAAAAGGUAACGGAGGCGCUCAAAGGUUCCCUCAGAAUGGUUGGAAAUCAUUCAUAGAGUGUAAAGGCAUAAGGGAGCUUGACUGCGAGACCUACAAGUCGAGCAGGGUCGAAAGACGGACUUAGUGAUCCGGUGGUUCCGCAUGGAAGGGCCAUCGCUCAACGGAUAAAAGCUACCCCGGGGAUAACAGGCUUAUCUCCCCCAAGAGUUCACAUCGACGGGGAGGUUUGGCACCUCGAUGUCGGCUCAUCGCAUCCUGGGGCUGUAGUCGGUCCCAAGGGUUGGGCUGUUCGCCCAUUAAAGCGGUACGCGAGCUGGGUUCAGAACGUCGUGAGACAGUUCGGUCCCUAUCCGUCGUGGGCGUAGGAAAUUUGAGAGGAGCUGUCCUUAGUACGAGAGGACCGGGAUGGACAUACCUCUGGUGUACCAGUUGUCGUGCCAACGGCAUAGCUGGGUAGCUAUGUAUGGACGGGAUAAGUGCUGAAAGCAUCUAAGCAUGAAGCCCCCCUCAAGAUGAGAUUUCCCAACUUCGGUUAUAAGAUCCCUCGAAGAUGACGAGGUUAAUAGGUUCGAGGUGGAAGCGUGGUGACACGUGGAGCUGACGAAUACUAAUCGAUCGAAGACUUAAUCAAUUU
rnacentral:rRNA from 1 species